AACGAACGCUGGCGGCAUGCCUAACACAUGCAAGUCGAACGAGACCUUCGGGUCUAGUGGCGCACGGGUGCGUAACGCGUGGGAACCUGCCCUUAGGUUCGGAAUAACUCCCCGAAAGGGGUGCUAAUACCGGAUAAUGUCUUCGGACCAAAGAUUUAUCGCCUUUGGAUGGGCCCGCGUUGGAUUAGCUAGUUGGUAGGGUAAAAGCCUACCAAGGCGACGAUCCAUAGCUGGUCUGAGAGGAUGAUCAGCCACACUGGGACUGAGACACGGCCCAGACUCCUACGGAGGCAGCAGUGGGGAAUAUUGGACAAUGGGCGAAAGCCUGAUCCAGCAAUGCCGCGUGAGUGAUGAAGGCCUUAGGGUUGUAAAGCUCUUUUACCCGGGAUGAUAAUGACAGUACCGGGAGAAUAAGCUCCGGCUAACUCCGUG
rnacentral:rRNA from 1 species